AGUCUUGUACCAAUCCCCCAAAACUUUGUAUGUGAGGUACAAUCAGUUUUAGUAACAUACAAAUUCUUACCCUUCUUCAGAGCCCACGGCAAAGGCCUAAUUCUCUUAUUAUCUUUCUCACAGGUGGUGACCUGUCCCAAUGCUUCUUUCAAUGGCCUGACCAAAAUAGUGUCCAGAAUUAGAGCCAGUGAAGCAGGCUGUCAUGGAAGACAGAGCAGCAGCUGGAGAAUUACGUGGAGAAAAUGGAUAUCAAGAUCACAAAGACAGAAAAUCCAAAAUGCUUACCUCAGAAUGUGAGACCAUCUGCACUAAAAGAAAACAGUAAGACUCAGUUAUAACCACAACACUUCUUGAGACAUUUUAUAAUGACUGUCAUUUUUCUUUCUUUCUUUCUUUCUUUCUUUCUUUCUUUCUUUCUUUUCACUAACAUAAUCUUGAGUUUUGCAAUCAAUCAAUGUUUGAAUGACUUUUGACUCACUAAAGACAGUCUUUUCGGAAGUUUGUCUGGAAGACAUGCAAAGUGAUAUAAGCAUAUAUAACCACAAAUUAGGGAAACAGUUGUAUCUGAAUCCCCACUGAGGUAGAUACAGUGAUUAUUAAAUGUUUAAUGUGUCUAUUUGGCAUGAGUGACUGGUUCUUUAUUGGCCUGAUGUCACUUCCUCAAAAAUCAUGCCUCACAUCACUUUGAAAUUUGCCCCAUGGCACAGUCUUCGGUUUUGAUUGACUUAUGAGCUGAUUAGUAUUGAGGCGCCUCUCCUUCCUUUGUCCCUUUCACCUCCAGCUAUCUUCAAGAUUAACUACCUUCUGGCAACAUAUUCAAAGUCACAGCCUAGAGCUCUACUUAAAGUCAUAAUCUAAUCAGAUACGGGACCCUGGCUAGCUCACAAAAGCCUUUUAACAGAUAGAAUUACAGUUCAGCAGUUAUGCUGCAGUGAGGAGAGAAGUUAUGGGCCUAGUUGGUAUAAUGGGACAGUUUAAAUAAUGCCUCUAAAGACAUCAUUUGGUGUAGUUUAUAGCCCUUUACGAUGGCUUUCAAACCUUGCAAGAUGACGAAACUAAAGCUGGAUAAGGUCUCAGAAAUCUGUGUUUGGAUUGGAAGGUUGAAGGUUUAGAAAGAGUAGAUGGAGUUGGCACAGAACAGCCCAACUGUAGCCAAUGAGACGAGAGGCUGGAGAAUCUUUACUGCGAGCUGUCUGGCACAAAAAGUGUAGAGAUUUGAAAGGCAAAUAAAUCUGUUGCACACAUCAGAUUGGUUGGUAGAGAUUUGUGGCUCACAUCCUCAAACCAAAGACUAUUUUUGAAGAGCUGGAGAGAACACGAUAUCCCAUAUAUAAAAAUACAGUGGAACCCACUGUUCUCUUCUCAGCCUCUCACACCGAUCACAGCUAUUUUAAUACAACGUGCUAAGCUAAAACAAAUUUGGACUUUGAAAAUUUGACCACGAGCGUUAUUGAACCAUCUGAAAACAAAACAGGGUUUACAACCUGUCUAAAUAAGUUUAUCUUGGUCCUUUUUUUCUAAUAAAUAAAUAAAUAAAUAAAAAAAUCCAAUCAUCACUAGCACAAAUUAAAUCUUGGGACAUUCUAGGCUGCGAAGGAGCCAAUAGUUGCAUCUUUCAUGCAUUUCAAGGUUGCAUUUAAGGAGCCUUCAAAUUGGGACAGCCUUUUGGAUGCAUUUUGUCACACCAUUUUUGUUUUAUUUAUUGUUAAAUAAUUAAGAAUGAAUUAUUAUUAAUAAGAGUCAAUUAUUUA
ensembl:lncRNA